CAUAGUUUUAAAGCAAUCAUAAAGUAUCAUAUUAGCAAGUGUAAUAUAGUACCUACUAGUUUUUUCCUUGGCAAAAAUAGUAUGAAUUAGGAACUAAGUAAGCAUACUAGCUUUUUCCGCAGCAAAAUCAAUAUUUCUUUGCAUUUCAAAAAUAGUAAGUGACAUAGAAUUAAAAAAACUGCAAAUAUUUGGAAAAAACUAAGUUACAGUUACAGGGACAUACACUUGAAAUCCACUGAACGAAAAAAAAAAACAAAAAAUAAUAUAAUUCUAUUAAACGGCGAUAUACUUUUCUUUCUUUUCGUUUCCUGAAAAGUUAUCAAAACUCAGUUACUAGGUUUUUCCUUUUCACGGGAGAACUACCGAAAAACAUUAUUUAAAAUUCUCUCAUCUUAAUUUCCUCGGCAUCCUGUAUGAUUUAUAAAUUUUGAAAAUCUCAGGAGGUGUAACCAAAGAAAGUAUUACACCUGUUGUCAAUCUGGUGGUAUGGAGACGAUAUUUAUUGUCGUUCUGUGCUACUUCGAUUGAUAACUUACUUUGUUUAGAUUUAGAUAAGUUGGGAAUGUCUUAUUUCUUCUUUUUCUACUUCCAUGACCGUUAUCGAUAUUACCGAUAUUUUAUCGAUAUCAUGAUGUUAUCGAUAUUUUCAGCCAUGACGUUUUUCUUCUACCAGGACCACCAGUGGCAUAGCGUGGGUGUCGGCCGCCCGGGGCGGAAAACAAUUUUGCCGCCCUCUUAUUUAGGUAUUUUAAUUUCGUAUAGUAUACAUUACAUACAUUAAUUGUAGACAACUUUUCGGCAAAAUCAUCUUUCAUCAUUAUUUUGCAUUAUACCGGUUAGAUUUAAAAUCACGUUAAUACAAAAAUUCUUUUACCUUAACCAAUUAGAUAUAUUGAUAUAACUUAGAUACCUAUCACUUAAGAUUAGGUACACCUUGACGAUUAACAAAAUUAAAUAAUAUCAAUUUUUAAUUAGAACUAGAACGAUUAGGCAGGACAUGUUAGUAAAGGGGAUUAAUAUUGAUAUGACUCAAGAUUGAAUUGUAUGGAGAAAUGCAAUUAGGGAAGCCGACCCCGCACAGGGAUAAGGCAAAAAGAAUAAUGAUGAUGAACUAGAACGAUAUUAUAAUGUUAUAUUUUUAUUUUUAUUGAAAAGUGAUAUUAGUAUUUUUGUUAGAAUUAAAAACAAAACCUCCGUCUUCAAUUAAAAAUUUAUACGUCUACUUUUUUUAAGAGCUAGUCUUUUAUUGCACCAUCUAUGUCUAUCGUAUCACACACCUCUUAAUCAAUAGACAAAAUAGCCAAAUUAGUUAGUCUUAGGGCCGGUUGUUCGAACGCUAAUUAACAAUGAUCAUUAUCAAAUAAUUAAUUACUGUCAAUGUCAACUUUGUUUGGGUUUUCAAAACAUAAUUAAUUACAAUUCUGAGACUAUAAUCAAUUAAUAUAACAAUAAUUAUUAACAUAAUUAAUAAUAAAUCUCAUAAUUGUAAUUAAUUAUGUUUUCAGCAACCCAAACAAAGUUGACAUUGACAGUUUUGGUGACAGUAAUUAAAUAUUUAAUAAUGAUCAUUGUUGAUUAGCGUUCGAACAACCGGCCCUAAGGGCCGGAUCACUAUCAAAUAUUUAAUUACUGUCACAACUGUCAAUGUCAACUUUGGUUAGGUUGCUGAAAACAUAGUUAACUAUAAUUAUGAGAUUAGUUAGUCAAUUAACAUAACAAUUAUUAACAUAAUUGAUUAACUAAUUUCAUAAUUGUCAUCAAUAAUUAUGUUUUCGGCAACCCAACCAAAGUUGACAUUGACAGUUGUGACAGUAAUUAAGUAUUUGCUAGUGAUCAAUGUUGAUUAGCGUUCGAACAACCGGCCCAUAGAAUACUCAUUGUCGAUCUUAAAUAAUUUUUAAUCAUUUUCAAUUUUGAAAAACUCCUUUCACUGCUGGCAUUGCUUAUAGCAACUACGAAAAAUAUUCGGAACAUUAUUAAAAUAUUGGGCAAAGUAUCUUGCAGCUUGGAUUUAACAAUAAAUUUAAAUAAUUCAAGUAAGUCUGCAUUAUUCAAUUUCGUUGCCUGUAGCAGCAAUGAAAGUCCGCAGUUGAAGUUUUUCCAGCUUGAAACCCUGCGCGUCAAUUUCGUCAGAUGCGUAGUUUAGAUUACAUUUAGUGUUGUUGCUGUUGAAAAUGCUCACGAAUUUCUACAAUAACUCUAUCUAACGAAGAAAACAGCUUUCGUCUCAACUCAUUUUUCCGUCAUCGAAAAAUAUGCUUUCUUGUUAUGCGCCUCUGAGGUUUUAUGGAAAUUCGAAGUUCACACAUAUUUUUGCAUAACCUACAGCGCCAUUUGCCUAUUCCUCUCUUUUCUCUGUCAAUAUUAUCUGCAAAUCAUUUACUUUCUGAGCGCACAGUCUUUUGUCAAGUCCCCUUGUUUGUAAAUAUUUUUGUGCAUCGUUCAUUUUACGUAGCACCGGUUGCCACAGGCACAAAAUAAUAAAAAAAGGAAAAUGACGGCAUCGAAACUAGUAAAGCACCUGCAUCUGUUCUAGUGUUUAAGCUUUCGCCUUCCUCUGUCAGUUUUUCCAAAGUGACGAGAAUGUCUUUGUAAUGAUGCCAUGUCACAUUUCCUGCAUAGCCUCUUGCACUCCACCGCGCGUCUUGGAUCCUUCUUUUGCCUGUAGCUGCUAUCAUAACUUCCCAACGAUGUGACGAUGAGAAAAAGAAAAGAAUAGCAACUUUCUAAAGUGCCGAAAAAAGUUGCGCUGGUGCUGAUUGUUAUUCAUAAACGGGGAGUUUCCACAAGUCAGUAUAGAUGUUGUUGCCAGUCGCAAUAAAUAUCAUUCUAAGCAAAGGAAUUCCCCGAAUUCGUCACAAAAUAAGUAAUGAAAAAUUCCGUGCUCCUUUCAAUCGGUCCGAAUUUGCAGUUGAGAUAAAAAUAAAGUGGUUCACAUAUUUACAAAAUAUUUUUAUUAUUUAUUGUUAAAUUUUGCCGCCCCCUAAAAAGUGCCGCCCGGGGCGGGCCGCCCCUGCCGCCCCCACUACGCUACGUCACUGACCAGGACCACGUUUUCUUUGGAUCUUUCCCUGAAUGAUCAGAUGUAAAAGAUCAUAUUUUUCAGGGUGUCUCAUAAUGUGACCGAAUGUCUUAUUAGCAUGAAAUUUGAAGACUUGUUGCUAACAUCGAUUUUUGAAAUACCUCAUGGACAAAGUGGAAGACAAAAAAACGUUUCCUGGACCAUAUGGAAGGAGAUCUACGGGUACUCAGGUAGUGAGAAUACAUGAGAAGAAGACUGGAUGUGAAUAGAAAACACUGGAAGAAUUUUUCAACGGACAAAGUUCAUCAAGGGCUGUAGAGCUAUAAAGCAGAAGAACUAUAUGUUGUUGUAUGAUAUUGCUGUUUUAAUAUUAGACUUUACUUAUUUAUUUCACAACUUCAACUUCUCAUUAUUUUAUGUAGUGUUUUCUCUUUGCAUAAUGUGCUAAAUAAUAUGUCUAACCGAUAUAAACUUAUUUAUUCUUAUUUAUUUGGAAAUACUUCAGGGAUUCCCCGUUGAACGCAAGUUUAUGGUUAGUAGUGAUAAUUAGUGUUUUAUUAACUGGAGUUGAUUAUUGUAUUGACCUAAUUAUUUAUCUUAAAACGUGUGGUUUGUUCUCAUUUUAUCCAAAUUGUUUUAUUAUAGAAGCAGACAUUAUAACAAUGUAACGGAGUUAUCGUUUUCUGUUGUGGGAUUCCCAAAGCUGUAUCUGUUAAAAUACCAUUUUAAACGUGGGCUAUUAUCUUCUGGUUAUGACCUAUUGGUUGAUUUUCUCAUGAGGGAAACCCAGAUUGGCUGUACUUUACAUAAGUAACUAUCUUUGUGAUUGUCAUCCGCUUUAUCUAUAUAUAAAUUAAUAUUUUAUAACUAAUAUAAACAUAUCAUUAAUUGUGAUAAUUCCUUAAUUUUUAUUCUAUAAUGAAAAAUUUAAUAUAAUAAUGUACUCAAUAUUUUUGUUAUAAUUUUUAGAGUUAAAUAUUAAAUGAUAAUUCAAGUAUUAUUUUUAAAAUAAAGAACAUUCAUUUUUGUAAUCGUGUCAAAAUCUCGUAUUAAAUUUUAAUCUCUUUAAGACGCCUGCAGUGAGCCACUUCUUCUUCUUAAUGUUAACCUGAUGCAGAUAUCGUGAAUCAUGAUCAUGAAGCUAUUAGCCGAUUUUUCCAAUGUUCCUCAAUUUCUCCCUAUUUUCUGGAAUUCUAGCACUUUCUGACAAUGGAGCGCCAAUAUUAGCAACAAUAUGGUCCGUCUAUCGUGUGAGAGAUCUACAUUGACUUCUUUUGCCUUCUACGUUUCCUUGGAUGGGUUUUGAAGACCAUUUAUUCGAAGCACCAAAAUAGCCUAUUAUUUGUCUUUUGUUUUCUUUAUGUUUAGCUGGUUCAGUAUAGAUUUAUUUGGUCGUCGGGCCACCCAUGGCAUUCUCCUCAUUCGUUUCCAGCAGUACAUCUCAAAUGCAUCUAUAAUCGUUUUAUCUUUCUCCAUAAGGUUCCAGCAUUCCGAUGCAUAAAUGAAAACUGGAAAAACUAGAUUUUACCAGGCUCAUUGUCGUAUCGAUAGUUAUAUCAUGGCUUUUCCAAAUUAUUGUUAAUUUUUUUAUCAUCGUUACGUGAUUUUAAUUGUUGUUAGCUCUCUCAAUUAUCAUGAUUCUCGUUUUGCCAAUCCUUGUAGCAGGUGUAUCAGUUCAACCUCUAAACGAGCGAAGAUGGUUGUAUCAUCUGCAUAUCUUAAGUUGCAAAUCUUCUUCCCGCCGAUAGUGAUAGCAUCAUUUCAGUCUUAGUAGCUUUCUGCAUUAUCCAUUCACCAUAUUUAUAAUAUAGAAUUGAACUUAGUAUGCAGACGUUUAUAAUUUGUUUUCCUGCGCAAUUUCAUGAAGUAAAAAUGGCUGUAUCCUCUCUAGAAUUUAGGUAUGUGUAAAAGUAUCUCAUAGCUGCUACUCUUUCACUCCCUUUUUAUGUAUAGGGAUAUAUUAUAGUGAUUUUGUCCAAUUUUCAGGCCAUUUACCUUUCUCCCUCAUUUGACAAACUUGACGUAUUAUAUCCAAUCCAACGUGUUAUUUGGACCAACAGCUGUAUGGCUUUUUUGCCUCAAUCUUUAUAUAUAUUUAAAGUACAAUUUUAGAACUUUGCUGAAAAGUUAUAAGUUCCAAAAUUCUCCGAGUUUUUUGAAAUUUUCGAAGAGAAAAUUGACCAUUAAUGCCAUGACAUGUUCCUAAAGAUGAUUAGCCCGGUACCUAAUUUAUCUGACGCCGGUACUGAAUAAAUAAAUAUGCUCUCUAAAGACAUCCUUCUGCCACAGAUGCACUUUUCCAUUUGUCAUGCAUUUUUAGGGUCUCAAACGACGUCCCGGCUCCAACCAAACGGGUUGUCAAAGUUCUUCUCAAACAGUGCCCAGUGUAUUCAUUUGCAUUUUCUAAUUUAAGGUAUUUUGCAAUUAUGGAAUGUACACGUACCAGUAUAUUUUUGCCAACAGGUUGGACAGUGUAUCGACUGUUUUGGUAUGUGGGAAAAAAAUCUUCGCUCCGUUAUAUCUUUUGGACUUAAUGAUACACAUUUCCCUAACCAGUUUCAAGGCACCCAUUUAAUCCUCCCCCACAAGAGUAAAUCCUUUUAACGUACACGUUUUAGAUACUGGUAUUUUAACGAGUAAACAGGUGUCUUUAUCUUCUAUAUCGUCCACGGUCAUUUUCACAAACUCAUCCUUUCUCAAUCCUCCAAAAAUGAGAACUACUUUAUGUAAAAGCUAAAUUUCAUUUGGAGCUUUAUUGAUAAAAUUUAGAACCUGAUCCGCUUCCAAAACUUUACAUUUUUUUUGGGAUGUAACCUUUAGAUUUCAUUUUUAAAAACAAUAUUAGACGACAAAAAUGGAAAAUAUCAGCAUUUUCGUUAAGAAUUAAUGUGGAUUUCAAAAUGGAAUAUUUAGUCCACAAGGAAUUUGGAGAAUACUUUUCGGACUAAAAUAAUUUAAUCAGAUCAGAAACGUGAACGUAACAUAAAAAGAACAAAAAUUAACAUUCCAAUUCCUGAAAGUAAGCCAGUAUUAUGGUCUCAUUUAUGUCAGCUAUUUUAUUUUUCCAUUGAAUAAAUAUUUUGUACGUACAAUGGCCCGGAUUAAAGCGGCAAUAAAUUUUCUGCUGCCUUUAUUCCACUUUGUCGAAUAUUUUCUGGUAAAUCCAUAACUGAAUAUAAAUCCAACUGAUAACUACAUAAUAUAAUCAACAAACGUCAAAAUAACAACUGACGUAUACUACUAAAAAUAUGCAUAUAUAUUUUCUAGAUGCAGCAAAAUAAAAAGUAAAAAGUCUCAAUUUUAGUUUUAAUAUUAUGUGAAGUGAAAAAUAAAAUCUUGUGUGUACCACUGGUGUUACCGGAUGAUUACACCCAUCGAGCAACAUCCAAACCUCGGGCCAGAGGCCCUCUGGCUAGAUUAUGUUGCUCUCCAGACAUAAUCAUCUUAGUAACACUCUUGGUGCAUAAAUAACUAUUUUCUAUUGUCAUACUAUAAUAUAUCAAUUAUGAUUUCACUACCUGCAUCAUAAUGAACUUCAUUAUGAUACAGAUUUUCAUUACGGUACAGAUUUUUAACUCCAUAGAAUCGCGAUAUGGCGUUCGCGAUGAAGGUGGCACAAGCGCAGUGACCAAUGGCGAGUCAAAUACAUACCCUUUGACAGUUCUCAAUAUGUAAACAAACUGACAAACUACUUAAUUUGUUUGCGUUACAAAAUUAAUAAAUUUGAAUAUAUUUUUUGUUGUGAUUACAACUUGCGUGUAUACAACUUGCAUUUAAUUAUCAUUAUGAAGCUCGUACUCUAUACGAAACUCGCCGCUAGGCGGCUCGUUUCGUAUCCCUUAUACUCGCUUCAUAAUUACGAUCAUUAAAUGCUCGUUGCAUAAUAUACUAUUAAAAAUGUCCGAUACGUCCGAAACAUCAUAAAUUAUCCAUAUAUUAUUGAAGUUUUUUAUUGAAGGAAACAUUUGAUAUCAUAUUUAUAUAAUAGUUAACUAUAUACCAAACUAACAUUUACUGUUUGACCAUAUAUUAUAGAAAUGUUACAAACUAGUCAAAUUGUAUAUAUUACUGCCGAAUACAAAUGGUAUAUUUAUUGUACAGCUUCCACUGUACGCACAUUGUUUUAUAUUUUAACGUUUCUUGCAUUGCUUGAAUUUUAUAUAAUAUAUUAUAUGACUUUUUGAUGAUUUUUUAACAUUGUGAUAUACAUUUUUUUUUAUUUUUAUAAGUUUCUGUUUUAUUUAAUGUCAAUCUAUAAUUUAUGUUGUGUAAUAUAACUAUUUAUAUAUCGCGGUAAUUAAAAUGAUUACGUAUUA
rnacentral:lncRNA from 1 species